rnacentral:lncRNA from 1 species
CAAGCGUGCACCACGCCUGGCUAAUUUUUGAAACUUUUCUACAGACGGGGUUGCGUCACGUUGCCCAGGGCAGUCUCGAACUCCUUAGACCAAGCCAUCCUCCCCCUCGGCCUCCCAAAGUGCUGGGAUUAUAGAGUCCAGCCAGCCUCAUGUUUUCUUUAAGCAGUCCCUCCCUGUUGCACAGUUGGAUAGUUUAUUUUUUUAUUUUUUUAGACAUGGUUUACCUCAGUCUCGCAGGACGGAGUGCUGUGAUGGGAUCACAGCUCAUGGCAGCCUUGAACCUUGGGGUUCAAGGAGCUGGGAAGUUGAGGUGAAACUACUGAGACUGGGUCGCGCCACGUUGCUGAGGCUGCUCUUUAACUCCUGGCCUGAAGGGAUCCUUCCGCCUCGGCCGCAUCCAGACAUAGUUUUCUAGUUUUGACCCACAGAAACAGUGCUGGGUCGGAGUUUGUCAACUACCCAUCUCCAGACAGCAACACAAAGGACCUGGCAGGGAGGUCGCGGUUACCAAGCUCCACUCUAAGGAGAAAACAGCCUAGCUCCAGGCACUGUACCGUCACUGUGACGUCGCGGAAGGCCCGGUGCUGUGACAUCGCCGAAGACACGCGCCUUCGGCGAACGCCCGUCCCCGUGACGUCACCAGAG